GGACUACUGGGGUAUCUAAUCCUGUUCGCUCCCCUGGCUUUCGCACCUGAGCGUCAGAAACCAUCCAGGACACUGCCUUCGCCUUUGGUAUUCCUCCGGAUAUCUACGCAUUUCACCACUCCACCCGGAAUUCUAUGUCCCUCUCUGGUCCUCAAGUCCACCAGUUUUCAGAGGCCUUGCUCAGUUAAGCCGAGCACUGUCACUCCAAACUUGGCAAACCGCCUGCGUGCCCUUUACGCCCAGUAACUCCGGACAACGCUUGCCCCCUACGUAUUACCGCGGCUGCUGGCAC
rnacentral:rRNA from 1 species